GAAAUUAUAUCGUGCUCUGUAGAAAUUUACAUUCCUGUCAAAAUACUGUUGCUUUAGUAAAUAUUUUACUUUUUCUCAUUAUUUGUUAUUGACUGUGACAGCCAGAGGCAGGGUUACCUAACUCUGUGAAAAGAGCCUGUAAUGCUGAAGAUUCCUUACCUGCAUCACCACUAAAAACAGCCAGAAGCAGAGGUUGGUAGCAUUAUUGAAUUAAAGGUUUUUUGGGUAACUGUUUGUUGGGAUUUUGUAAGGUUUUGAGGAGAAUAAUUAAACCUAUGUAUAUGGCAGGAUCGUCAUAUGAAUUACCCCUGAAGUCUGCAGUACCUGAUUACGUAGCUGAUUCUAAUAAACCACAGUCUCCUGUAUCUAAAAGAGGAACAAAUAAUACAUUAGCAGAUGUUGAAGCACUAUGCAAAAGUCCUGCCAUGUCUUUGGAUGCUGAGGAUGAUCAUGAGUCUCUUGGAUCACCUCUUCUUUUGGAGGAAGCAAAAAGUCCUCCAGUACAUAAAUUACACUUGGAUGACCAAAAUAAUCCUGCUGCAGUGAAGAGCCCUGUGGAAGUUGAAAAUUUGGGAGGACCUCAGACUGGGAGAGAUGAGCAGGUUGUUCUCAAGCAAGGAAUAGAACGUGUUGCUGCGUCAUCUGUACAGAAAGAGAAGGUUUUCUCUUCGAUUGUCUUAGCAGCUGUAGCAACAGGAACGCAUGGAAAAAGGUUUGUUUUGAAGCAUAAUAUAGAACAUAAUUUGCUAGUGAAAUAACCCAGUCCUGAGUACUGGAGCAGCAUCCUUUUAUCCGUGCACAUG
rnacentral:lncRNA from 1 species